rnacentral:rRNA from 1 species
GGAGCUUGCUCCCGGAUGUUAGCGGCGGACGGGUGAGUAACACGUGGGUAACCUGCCUGUAAGACUGGGAUAACUCCGGGAAACCGGAGCUAAUACCGGAUAGUUCCUUGAACCGCAUGGUUCAAGGAUGAAAGACGGUUUCGGCUGUCACUUACAGAUGGACCCGCGGCGCAUUAGCUAGUUGGUGAGGUAACGGCUCACCAAGGCGACGAUGCGUAGCCGACCUGAGAGGGUGAUCGGCCACACUGGGACUGAGACACGGCCCAGACUCCUACGGGAGGCAGCAGUAGGGAAUCUUCCGCAAUGGACGAAAGUCUGACGGAGCAACGCCGCGUGAGUGAUGAAGGUUUUCGGAUCGUAAAGCUCUGUUGUUAGGGAAGAACAAGUGCAAGAGUAACUGCUUGCACCUUGACGGUACCUAACCAGAAAGCCACGGCUAACUACGUGCCAGCAGCCGCGGUAAUACGUAGGUGGCAAGCGUUGUCCGGAAUUAUUGGGCGUAAAGGGCUCGCAGGCGGUUUCUUAAGUCUGAUGUGAAAGCCCCCGGCUCAACCGGGGAGGGUCAUUGGAAACUGGGAAACUUGAGUGCAGAAGAGGAGAGUGGAAUUCCACGUGUAGCGGUGAAAUGCGUAGAGAUGUGGA